GGAGUUGGCCAGACAGUCGCCGCCGCGCUUGCGCGGGGGAGGAAAGUCCGGGCUCCAUAGGGCAGAGUGCCAGGUAACGCCUGGGCGGCGUGAGCCGACGGAAAGUGCAGCAGAGAGUAGACCGCCUAAGCCUUUCGGGGCCGGUAAGGGUGAAAGGGUGCGGUAAGAGCGCACCGCGCGGCUGGCAACAGUACGUGGCAAGGUAAACCCCACUCGGAGCAAGACCAAAUAGGAACCCGUUGGCGUGGCCCGCGCUGGGUUCGGGUAGGUUGCUUGAGCGCUAGGGUGACGUAGCGCCUAGAGGAAUGGCUGUCCACGACAGAACCCGGCUUAUCGGCCGACUCCCCCA
rnacentral:RNase_P_RNA from 1 species